GACAAGGACUUAGUAGAAGCUUUG
rnacentral:piRNA from 1 species